rnacentral:rRNA from 1 species
CAGUAGCCACGGGAAUACGUAGGUGGCAAGCAUUGUCCGGAAUUAUUGGGCGUAAAGGGCUCGCAGGCGGUUUCUUAAGUCUGAUGUGAAAGCCCCCGGCUCAACCGGGGAGGGUCAUUGGAAACUGGGAAACUUGAGUGCAGAAGAGGAGAGUGGAAUUCCACGUGUAGCGGUGAAAUGCGUAGAGAUGUGGAGGAACACCAGUGGCGAAGGCGACUCUCUGGUCUGUAACUGACGCUGAGGAGCGAAAGCGUGGGGAGCGAACAGGAUUAGAUACCCCUGUAGUCCCUGUCUCUUAUAC